rnacentral:rRNA from 1 species
GCUUGUCUCAAAGAUUAAGCCAUGCAUGUUCAAGUAUAGCAAGUGUACAGUGAAACUGCGAAUGGCUCAUUAAAUCAGUUAUAAUUUAUUUGAUAGUGAAAUUGUACAUGGAUAACCGUGGCAAUUCUAGAGCUAAUACAUGCACCCGUGCCCGACUUUGUGGAAGGGUUGUGUUUAUUAGUUACAGAACCAGCCCAGGCUCUGCCUGGUCUUGUGGUGAUUCAUAAUAACCGAACGAAUCGUAUGGCAUCAGCUGGCGAUGAAUCAUUCAAGUUUCUGACCUAUCAGCUUCCGACGGUAGGGUAUUGGCCUACCGUGGCAAUGACGGGUAACGGAGAAUUAGGGUUCGAUUCCGGAGAGGGAGCCUGAGAAACGGCUACCACAUCUAAGGAAGGCAGCAGG